GAUGAACGCUGGCGGCGUGCCUAAUACAUGCAAGUCGAGCGAACAGACGAGGAGCUUGCUCCUCUGAUGUUAGCGGCGGACGGGUGAGUAACACGUGGAUAACCUACCUAUAAGACUUGGAUAACUUCGGGAAACCGGAGCUAAUACCGGAUAACAUGUUGAACCGCAUGGUUCAACAGUGAAAGACGGUCUUGCUGUCACUUAUAGAUGGAUCCGCGCCGCAUUAGCUAGUUGGUAAGGUAACGGCUUACCAAGGCAACGAUGCGUAGCCGACCUGAGAGGGUGAUCGGCCACAAUGGAACUGAGACACGGUCCAGACUCCUAAGGGAGGCAGAAGUAGGGAAUCUUCCGCAAUGGGCGAAAGCAUGACGGAGCAACGCCGCGUGAGUGAAGAAGGUCUUCGGAUCGUAAAACUCUGUUAUUAGGGAAGAACAAAUGUGUAAGUAACUAUGCACGUCUUGACGGUACCUAAUCAGAAAGCCACGGCUAACUACGUG
rnacentral:rRNA from 1 species